ACAUUUCUAUUAGAAUUUAUUAAUAGUAAAUUCUGCUCAAUGAUAUUAAAUAGCCGCUAUUCGUGCUAAGGUAGUAAAAUAAUUUGUCUUUUAAUUAAAGACCAUACAAAAGAUUUUUCAUUUAAAUUUUUUUCUAAAAUUUUUUCAUUAAAUUAUUUUAAAUGUAAAAAAACAUUUAUUUUAAAGAAAGACGACAAGACCCUAUCGAACUUUAUUGAAAUUAAACUGGGGAAGUAAAUAAAUUAAAAUUUUUAUAUAAAAAUUUUAAUUUAUUAUCUAAUUCUAUUAAAUAACCAAGUUACCGUAGGGAUAACAGCGUAAUUAAAUUUAUUAGAUCUUAUUAAUAAUUUAGAUUGCGACCUCGAUGUUGAUUUAAUUUUACUUAUUCACGCAAUAGUUUAGAAAGUAAGUCUGUUCGACUUUCAAAAAAUUACAU
rnacentral:rRNA from 1 species